CACGUAGGGGACGAGCGUUGUCCGGAAUUAUGGUGCGUAAAGAGCUCGUAGGCGGCUUGUCACUGUCGGGUGUAGAAAGCCCGGGCUUAACCCCGGGAUCUGCAGUUCGAGUGACGGGCUAGGCUAGAGUGGUGGUAGGGGAGGAUCGAAUUCCUGGUGUAGCGGUGAAAUGCGCAGAUAUCAGGAGGAACACCGGUGGCGAAGGCGGGAUCUCUGGGCCAUUACUGACGCUGAGGAGCGAAAGCGUGGGGAGCGAACAGG
rnacentral:rRNA from 1 species